CAAUUUUCUCAACAUGAUCGUGAAUAGAAUGAUAUUUGAUAUCAAUGUGAUUGGUUCGUGAAUGUAACACUGGAUUGUGAGUAAUAGCAAUAGCACUCGUAUU